UGUGGUAUUGUUUUUUCAUAUUACUGAGAUCGCUGUCCCCAGGGAACCCGGUGCAAUUCCGGGACGGACCCGCCGCUGUAAGUGAGGACGAACGCUGCAUAAAUGUCACUGUGCUGUUAAGGAUCGAAACUGCAUGGGAAGGCGCGGCAAGUAGGAAGAAUCACAAGUCAGAAUAUCUGUUGGACCAGUGUAAAUAAA
rnacentral:ncRNA from 2 species